rnacentral:piRNA from 1 species
ACGAUUGUGUUGGAGUUUGUAAG